rnacentral:rRNA from 1 species
GUGGAGCAUGUGGUUUAAUUCGAUGCAACGCGAAGAACCUUACCUGGUCUUGACAUCCACGGAAGUUUUCAGAGAUGAGAAUGUGCCUUCGGGAACCGUGAGACAGGUGCUGCAUGGCUGUCGUCAGCUCGUGUUGUGAAAUGUUGGGUUAAGUCCCGCAACGAGCGCAACCCUUAUCCUUUGUUGCCAGCGGUCCGGCCGGGAACUCAAAGGAGACUGCCAGUGAUAAACUGGAGGAAGGUGGGGAUGACGUCAAGUCAUCAUGGCCCUUACGACCAGGGCUACACACGUGCUACAAUGGCGCAUACAAAGAGAAGCGACCUCGCGAGAGCAAGCGGACCUCAUAAAGUGCGUCGUAGUCCGGAUUGGAGUCUGCAACUCGACUCCAUGAAGUCGGAAUCGCUAGUAAUCGUGGAUCAGAAUGCCACGGUGAAUACGUUCCCGGGCCUUGUACACACCGCCCGUCACACCAUGGGAGUGGGUUGCAAA